rnacentral:tRNA from 1 species
GUAGUGGAGCGGUUUAACACGCCUGCCUGUCACGCAGGAGAUCGCGGGUUCGAUUCCCGUCGGGACCGCCA